UCCAGACCUGCAGGGGGCAACCAUGUGCAGGAGAGGUGGAACCCAAACUAGGAACUCUAGUUCCCAGAGGAACCUGGUCACCAUGUGCACCUAGAGGAAGCAGAAGUGUGAAAUGCUUGGAUGAGGCUCGUUCACCUACUCCUUGGUGGGAAGUAAUGGCCACUGCAGCUGAUCAGUUUUGAAGAAACAACUGGAGGCCAAAUAUGAGUCCACUGGUCCCUCUGCCCAAAGAUGCUGCUUCAUGUGCAUUGAUUUCAGAAUAUGGACGGGCUGUGAAAGGAUGCCUGUCUGCGGUAACUUCAGGUGUGACCCUGCAGUGUCCACUCCGAUACAGGUGGAGACACAGAUGGACACGGUAGUGUGGUUUCUACCAAUGAGACAAGAUGGGGUGUGGACGGAAGACAACCAGACACAGAUGAUCAAGACUGACUUCUGUCCAUAUGUGUUUUGUGGGUGUAUGUGUGUUUUUGGUAAAGCUAUACUUGUGGGGACACUUUGUCCUUGUGGGGACAUUCUGCACGUCCCCACUGAGUUAGAGUUCGGGUUAGCAUUAGGGUUAGCAUUAGGGACUUUAUUGUAUUAUGGUGAAUGCAUUAUGUCUGUGUGAAGUACUGGGUAUGUUGCAUAGGGAGGAAACUAUAAAUACACAUGCGAAAUGCUGUAUUCCACUGGGUUUGUCUGUGAUGCCAGUAACAUCUGUGUCUAUUUUAGCAUCAUCUGAUAAUGUGUUGUCUGCACAUGAGGUUAAUGCUGGGCCACUCUGUGGGGCAACUGAAAAUAAACAUAGCGUUAGGAGUCCUGGAAAAAUUACAUUAAAUAGAUAAAAUGCUAAUGAUACAACUGAGAAUACAAUUUAUUUUGAGCUAAAACUAUUGUUGAAAAAUAUUUUUUUGACCCACACUGUGGUUUAAAUGAGGCUCAGCAGUUUUGAGGUUCCAAACCUUCAAAAUAAUAACAUCGGUCCAGAACGACCAUAUGUAUGUACUUACAUACUUACUGUAUGUAAGUAUUCAGGAGUACGUUCCAGUAAGUGACUGUAGAUCAGUUGUCUUUAUGUCCAUUAGUGGAACUGGACUCCUGCAUUCAUCGAUGUUCCCUCUGUACUUUACCCUCCUCCUCCUACAUCACAGUCCUCCUACAUUGUCUCAACUACACAGAUAAAACACUCUCUUCUGGGUUUAGUUUUUUCUACUUGACGUCUGCGUAUAUUACAGUAUUUAAACAAAGUAUCUGCAGCACAUACUGUAUGAUGACUUUAAAGAUAAUGAACAUCAUCCCUUGAGUUUUUUUCAUGUCACAAAUAAGGCUGGAGCUAUAGACCCAAUAGUAAAAGUAUUUUUUUUUCUCUGAAUUGUUAUAUAUGACAGUGAUCAUCAAAUGGUGGCCCAAGGGCCAGAUUUUGUCCACCAAACAGAUUUCGUUCAAUCCAACCGGCGACUAGAUUCCAAAAUUUUGAGGAUCAAAGAGAACAUUUUCUGAAGUUCUCACUAUUAAUGUUACUAGAAAAAAGAACUGAGAAUGAAUUAAUAACUGUCAGUAACCUCCACCAUUUAUGACUCUGUUUGACAAAGGUUUGAUGUUUAUUUCAGUGUCCGGUCCUUGAGGUGUCUGUCUAAAAUUAUUCUAGCCCACUUGUAUAAAGGAUAAAAAAAUACUCAAUACUUCACAUACUUGUCCUCAAAACAUGUAUACGCAUCCAGCCAUUUAAUACAACUGCAUAGUA